GGGCGCCGAUGGCGGGGGGCAGCCGCAGCGCGGGGGGCGCCGGGGCCGGCGGGCGGGCUGGUUCCCGGCUGGACGGGCUGUUCCUGCGGCGGUUCCUACGGCUCCUGGCCGUGCUCUUUCCUGGGUGGCCCUCCCCGAGCGCCCUCAUGUUCUUGACGCUGCUCGGUGUCGCCUUGCUGGAGCAGCUGGUUAUUUACCAGGUCGGCGUCAUCCCCAGCCAGUACUAUGAGGUGCUAGGGAACAAGGACUUCUCCGGAUUCAAAACAUUGACUGCCGUUGCUGUGACUCUGAUCAUUGUGAACUCCACGCUAAAAAGUUUCGACCAGUUUAUCUGCAACAUGAUGUAUGUGAACUGGAGGAAAUCCCUCACUGAAUACCUCCACCGCUGCUACUUCCAAGGCCAGGUCUACUACAACCUGCUCGUGCUGCGUGAGGACAUCGAUAACCCGGACCAGCGCAUCAGCCAGGACGUGGAGAGGUUCUGCAGGCAGCUCAGCUCCAUGGCCAGCAAGCUCGUCAUCUCACCCUUCACACUGGCCUACUACACAUACCAGUGCUUUCACAGCACAGGCUGGCUGGGCCCGGUGAGCAUCUUUGGGUAUUUCGUCAUUGGGACGAUGAUUAACAAAGUGUUGAUGAGCCCAAUUGUGUCUAAACUUGUGCAGCAGGAAAAACUGGAGGGAGAUUUCAGGUUCAAGCACAUGCAGAUUCGUGUCAAUGCAGAACCAGCUGCUUUCUACAGGGCUGGGCGAGUGGAGCACAUGCGCACAAACCGGAGGCUGCAGAGCCUGCUGAAGACCCAGAGAGAGCUGAUAGGCAAAGAGCUGUGGCUGUACAUUGGGAUCAACACCUUUGAUUAUCUGGGCAGCAUCCUGAGCUACGUGGUCAUUGCCAUUCCCAUCUUUUCUGGGGUCUACGGCGACCUGAGUCCAACAGAGCUCAGUGCCCUUGUCAGCAAGAAUGCCUUUGUUUCCAUCUACCUCAUUGGCUGCUUCAGCCAGCUCAUAGAUCUCUCCAGCACUGUGACUGAUGUAGCUGGCUACACACACAGGAUUGGUGAACUGCAGGAGACCUUGCUGAGCCUUGGCAACAAAAAAAAUGAUAACUACUCAGAAGCCAAAACCAGUUGGGAUUUGGACAGCAGCCAUUCUGGGGAGGACCCAGUGCCAAGGGACACAGCUUUCCUUCUGGAGCGAGUGACACUCUCAGUACCAUCCUCUGGCAAGCUGCUCAUCAAGGACUUGAGCCUCAACAUCUCACAAGGAAACAGUGUGAUGAUUGUGGGAAACACUGGUACAGGGAAGACAUCGCUCCUGAGGGUCCUCGGAGGACUCUGGGAGAGCACACGGGGGAGCAUCAGGAUGCUGACCUGCUUUGGCCCCCGAGGAGUGGUGUUCCUACCACAGAGGCCCUUCUUCACUGAUGGAAGCCUGCGUGAGCAGGUGAUCUAUCCCCUGAAGGAGAUCUAUCCACUUUCAGGGUCUGCAGAUGAUGAGAGGAUUGUGCGAUUCCUGGAGCUGGCUGGGCUGACUGAUUUGCUGGCAAGGGCUGGAGGACUGGAUGAACAGGUGGACUGGAACUGGUAUGACAUCCUGUCCCCAGGGGAGAUGCAGAGGCUCUCAUUUGCACGGCUCUUCUACCUCCAGCCAAAAUAUGCAGCAUAGCACACAGAGGAUCCAUUUGUGAAAUGUGAAAACGUUUCAUUAUUUGUGUGGACGGUGGUAAGUCAAGAGGCUGUACAUAAGACAUUUUCUUCUUGGGGAACUGGUGAUUCAUGUUCAUGGUCCAUGUCCAGUGGCACCAGAAGAACUUUGUCAGCCUGCUCACCAGUUGCUGUGCAAAGAAGUGCAUGUGUUGGGGAAUAUGGCAGCAGCUGUCAUAUCUGAAGCUCGCAAGCAUCUGUACAGUUGUGGGGCAGUAUGGAAGGUUUAGCCCUGAUGUGGCAAAAGAAGACAAGGAGCAGAAGGAGAAACAGUCCUGAGGGACCACAGAACAUCUGUGAUUAGCUAAUGGGGCCAAUUCCUUAGGCUCUGCUGGGGGCUUGAGCUGUUGGAGGACUUGCCAUGAGGGUCAGGUUGGAUGUGGGUGAGCAGAGCCAGUUUCAGUAGCAGGUAGCUACAUGUAAGUACCUCUCUUUCCCCUGAGGCCUGGGGCACAGCUAAGUGAUGUCUGGGCAGAAGGAACCUGUGGAUUGCAAACUAAAAGCUGUAGAGAUGAUUUGAAUUUAUUUGCUCCAGGUAUGUAGUAUUUACCCUUAAUAGUCAGGAAAGUGCCACAGGCCAUCCUACAUACUCCAUGUAGGGUCUGUGCUGGAUGAGUACACUGACUGCUGUUUGACCUGGCACUCUGGCACGUGGUCUGCCUGGAGAAGGUCAUGUCUUGGCUUUUGCUAUGAUGGGGAUGAGGCGCAGUGGUGGGUAGCUGUUGAGGGAGAGGAAUGAAGUGAACAGUGUGGUUUGGAUGGAUUCAAGUACUUGAAGGGAAAGACAGCUUUCCUAGUUGCCUGUCACCAGCUGUGGCAGAAGAAUACCAGAGUUCUUGGGUUUUUCCUCCCUUGCUUUUUGCAGAUGGUCUUAGUGAGCUCCAGUUAAUAUGUGAAAUGUUCUUGUGAGUUGCUCUCCUUGCCUACAGGAGAUAUCUGGUUGGGAGAGGAUUUGUGGGGCUUAUGGCUUUUUUUUCAGUGUUAGAUGAAGCUACCAGCGCCUUGACAGAAGAGGUGGAGCAUGAACUGUACCGUAUGUGCCUUCAGCUGGGCAUGACACUGAUCAGUGUGGGACACAGAUCCAGCCUGGAAAAGUUCCACAGCUGGAUUUUGAAACUUCAUGG